rnacentral:misc_RNA from 1 species
GUUCAUGAAAUCGAUGCCCUUCUGAAUGCUCUCCAUCAGCUCUUUCUUUGCCAUCUCCAAGCCAGCUCUCUCAAAAUCAUUCAACGGCCCCAGAGGGAGAACCUCUUCGGCUCCAGCACGACCUAACCUCACUUUUGUUGCAAAGAACGGCAACUCGGUCACCGCAGAUGCAACAUAUGAACAUUCCACAACGCCAGCAUCACCACGCAUUGCUCGCAAGCAUGCAUCACCAAAUUUUGCUGCAGCAAAAGCCAUUGACAAAGUUGCAGAGCCUGCUCCUGCCUUUGCCUCAACAACUUCUGUGC